GCUANNAUGNUGCNGCGAUCUCUUCGGAGAGAGCGGCGGACGGGUGAGUAACACGUGGGUAACCUGCCCUGUACACACGGAUANCNUACCGAAAGGUAUACUAAUACAGGGAUAACAUACGAAAGUCGCAUGGCUUUUGUAUCAAAGCUCCGGCGGUCACAUGAUGGACCCGCGUCUGAUUNGCUAGUUGGUAAAGGUAAUGGCUUACCAAGGCAACGAUCAGUAGCCGACCUGAGAGGUUGAUNGGCCACACUGGANCUGAGNCCACGGUUNAGANUCCUACGGNGAGGCAGCCGCGUGAGCGAUGAAGGCCUUCGGGUCGUAAAGCUCUGUCCUCAAGGAAGAUAAUGACGGUACUUGAGGAGGAAGCCCCGGCUAACUACGUGCCAGCAGCCGCGGUAAUACGUAGGGGGCUAGCGUUAUCCGGAAUUACUGGGCGUAAAGGGUGCGUAGGUGGUUUUUUAAGUCAGAAGUGAAAGGCUACGGCUCAACCGUAGUAAGCUUUUGAAACUAGAGAACUUGAGUGCAGGAGAGGAGAGUAGAAUUCCUAGUGUAGCGGUGAAAUGCGUAGAUAUUAGGAGGAAUACCAGUAGCGAAGGCGGCUCUCUGGACUGUAACUGACACUGAGGCACGAAAGCGUGGGGAGCAAACAGGAUUAGAUACCCUGGUAGUCCACGCCGUAAACCUUGAGUACUAGGUGUCGGGGGUUACCCCCCUCGGUGCCGCAGCUAACCAUUAAGACUCCCCUGAAG
rnacentral:rRNA from 1 species